CUUUACCACUGCUUUUUGCUCGUUUCAUUCAAUUCUUUGUUUAAGACAAAAAGAACCUGGAAUCCAACUCCAGAAGAAGAGAUACAGGUUAUUUGAUACAUUGUAGCCGUGAUUAUGACCACAGUGGGAGCUGUGUUGUGCCACUCCCACUCCUAGGACCGAGGUGCUCAUUCCCCAGCUGCCACAGUAUGCACGGCAUGCUACUGUCCCCAAGUGGAGUGGCCCUCAGCCCCUGGCAUCAGAGGACUGACCCAUGACUGUUUGUAGAGCAGAGGUGCAGAGGCUGGGCCCCUUUGCCCUGGUGGUGGAACUCUGAAGGUCACGCCAGCUCCAGAACUUUCCGUGACACCGGGUACAGAUUCCCUUCCCAUUUACAAAAGAUCCACACAUCUUUGAGGAAAAGAACCUUGACAUGUCUCUGAGGGUUUUAGGCGUGGCUCAUGGAAAUGGAGUCAGCAGGUGUGACCUCGAGGGGAAUGUGUCAGUGCUGGUCUGCAGGUCCCAGGGGAGCCAGGGAAGAGACAAGUACCAUUCACUUCCUGCUGCCUCUCUCCCUUCAGAGUAUCAGAACAGGAAGGCCCAGAGGCUCAAAGUGGCACGGAGAUGAUGACAGCUGAAAGGGGAAUAGUCACCCAGGAAACCGAAGAAAAGGGUGCUUUUGAAUGGUUGUAUUAUAGCCAGCUAAGUUAGGUAGAAAUAGGCAGUUCAACAGGGAGAGGCCCUUGAGGAAGUUAGCGCAGAAGAUGAGAACUGUGGUUGGAGGUGCAUUUGAAGAAGGCAAGGCCUUGAGGUUAAAGCCACAAUGGCCAGACUUGCAUACUUCCCUAAGGGAUCAAUGGAAACGAGAUUAUACAGUAAUUGGUACCACCCUGUCUUUUUACUUCCCCUUCCCUUCCUCUCCCCCCUCUCUCCUUCCAUCUCUUGGUGAAUUAUCUUUUAAAACUUUGUAUCCUUUGUAGCCUUUAGCUAAAUGAUGCUCGAAGUGAGAUUAUGAGAAUGAAAUGAAUCAGUGCAUAUAAAGUAUGUAGAAGAGCGCCUGCCAUGUAGCACACUCGCUGAAAGGGUUAUUAUUGUAGUUGUUCUUCACAUCUCACCAUCCCCCCGAGCCUUCUCUCCCCUGCGCCACAUUCCCAACUGGAUUUCGGUAACAUAUGACAUGCUGGCUGCUGUGCUCACUGCCUCUGUCAAGUGUCUCCUGCAGGGAGAGAAUCUGAUUUACAUUACCUCAAAAUUCAGGUUGUUCAAAACCUGAAAUCAAGUGAAAGGAAACCCCCUGCAGAGUAUUUAAGGAGUCAUCUGGGCUGCCUGUCUGCCACAACCUUUGUGCCAACACUGAAGCAGCCUUUUACUGCCCCAGGAAAGAGUGCUGGCCCCAGCCCUGGGCAAAAUCUGAAAUCCUCUCUUCCAGAGGAUUCCUUUAGCAUUAUUUACCUGUUCACCUGUGAGAUCUCAGUAGGGUGGAAAGCUGUCAGCUUUGAAGCCUGAGCUCACACCUGGCUCCCAUACCUGACUAGCUGGGUGAGGCUUGGGCAAGUUAUUUAACUUCUGUGUGCCUUUGUUUCC